UGCGGUUAUACAAAAAUUAAAUUAAUUUUUUUUAGGAUUUAAUAAAUAAAAAUUAAAUUAAUAAUUUAAAUUUUAAAUUAUAAGGUGAAAUUUUAAUUUAAUUAAAAUUUAUUUAUUUUUAUGACAUUAAUAAAUUUUAUAAAAAACUAGGAUUAGAUACCCUAUUAUAAAAAUUUAAAUUUAAUAAUCUUAAAAUAGUAUAUAAUUUUUUAUAGAAACUUAAAUAAUUUGGCGGUAUUUUAGUUCAUUUAGAGGAAUCUGUCUAAUAAUUGAUAAUCCACGAUUAAAUUUACUUAAUUUUUAAUUUUGUAUAUCGUUGUUAAAAAAAUAUUUUUAAAUAAUUAUAAUAUUUUAAAAUUUAAAUAAAAAAUUAAAUCAGAUCAAGAUGCAGAUUAUAAUUAAGAAUAUGAUGGAUUACAAUAAAAUUUAUUUUUUGGAUAUUAAUUUGAAAUAAAUUAGUUGAAAUUGGAUUUAAAUGUAAUUUUAUUAAUUUUAAUAAAAUGAUUUUAAAUUAAAAUAUGUACAUAUUGCCCGUCGCUUUCAUUUAUAAAUUGAAAUAAGUCGUAACAAAGUAGAAGUACUGGAAAGUGUUUCUAGAAAGAU
rnacentral:rRNA from 1 species